CCUACGGGAGGCAGCAGUGAGGAAUAUUGGUCAAUGGACGGGAGUCUGAACCAGCCAAGUAGCGUGAGGGAUGACUGUCCUGUGGAUUGUAAACCUCUUUUGUCAGGGAACAAAGCAGGGUACGCAUCCCCUCUUGUAUGUACCCUAUGAAUAAGGAUCGGCUAACUCCGUGCCAGCAGCCGCGGUAAUACGGAGGAUCCGAGCGUUAUCCGGAUUUAUUGGGUUUAAAGGGUGCGGAGGCGGACUGUUAAGUCAGUUGUGAAAGGUUGCGGCUCAACCGCAGACCUGCCGUUGAAACUGGCAGUCUGGAGUAGGGUAGAGGUGGGCGGAAUGCGUGGUGUAGCGGUGAAAUGCAUAGAUAUCACGAAGAACUCCGAUUGCGAAGGCAGCACACCGGACUGCAACUGACGCUGAGGCUCGAAAGCGUGGGUAUCGAACAGGAUUAGAUACCCGAGUAGUC
rnacentral:rRNA from 1 species